rnacentral:rRNA from 1 species
ACCUUCGGCUGGAUCAUUA